rnacentral:rRNA from 1 species
CGGGACGGGUGAGUAAUGUCUGGGAAACUGCCUGAUGGAGGGGGAUAACUACUGGAAACGGUAGCUAAUACCGCAUAACGUCGCAAGACCAAAGAGGGGGACCUUCGGGCCUCUUGCCAUCGGAUGUGCCCAGAUGGGAUUAGCUAGUAGGUGGGGUAACGGCUCACCUAGGCGACGAUCCCUAGCUGGUCUGAGAGGAUGCCAGCCACACUGGAACUGAGACACGGUCAG